GUGAGGAAUAUUGGACAAUGGGCGCAAGCCUGAUCCAGCCAUGCCGCGUGCAGGAAGACGCAUCUAUGGUGUGUAAACUGCUUUUGUACGGGAAGAAACACUCCCUCGUGAGGGAGCUUGACGGUACCGUAAGAAUAAGGAUCGGCUAACUCCGUGCCAGCAGCCGCGGUAAUACGGAGGAUCCAAGCGUUAUCCGGAAUCAUUGGGUUUAAAGGGUCCGUAGGCGGGUUAAUAAGUCAGUGGUGAAAGCCCAUCGCUCAACGAUGGAACGGCCAUUGAUACUGUUAGACUUGAAUUACAAGGAAGUAACUAGAAUAUGUAGUGUAGCGGUGAAAUGCUUAGAUAUUACAUGGAAUACCAAUUGCGAAGGCAGGUUACUACUUGUGGAUUGACGCUGAUGGACGAAAGCGUGGGGAGCGAACAGGAUUAGAUACCCUGGUAGUCC
rnacentral:rRNA from 1 species